UACGUAGGGUGCGAGCGUUGCCCGGAUUUAUUGGGCGUAAAGGGCGCGUAGGCGGUGUCGCAAGUCCGUGGUGAAAUCUCUAGGCUCAACUUAGAGACUGCCGCGGAAACUGCGGUGCUUGAGUGUGGGAGAGGUGCGUGGAAUUCCCGGUGUAGCGGUGAAAUGCGUAGAUAUCGGGAGGGACACCUGUGGCGAAAGCGGCGCAGUGGACCACAACUGACGCUGAGGCGCGAAAGCUAGGGGAGCAAACAGG
rnacentral:rRNA from 1 species